UUUCGUUACAUGUGCAACGCAGAACGUGCGCGGAUCUAUAUUUCAAUAUAUUUCAAAAGUAUUCAGCAGUGUUCAGCAGUGUUCAUCAGUGUUCAGAUUUUGUCCGGAAAGAAGAGAAAGAAGUAGUUUAGAGGCCUACCCGUACAACCUAUUGAUAAGAUAAGUGAAUUUUAUUAUAUAACCUAAAAUAAUCUCAAAGAAAAAAACCAAACCAAUAACUAAAAACAUUUUUUAUUGCAGCGUUAAUUCCGCGACUGGUAUUCAAUCAGAGGCUAUUAAUUUCUGUCAGCUUGAAGAAUGUAUUAAUAAAUGGACCUUGGAAUUGAAAAAGCAAGAUAAAGUACUUGUAAAUCAAGCGACACAAGUUGAUGCUUGGGACAAAUGGUUGAUAACAGUUGAUAACAAAUGGGGAGAAAAUACUAAUGCUGAAUCAAGAAGUUGAAAGAGUGAAAAUCGAGUAGCAGCAAUUGGAUUACGUUAUUGGACAACAGAAAGAGUUGCAAGAAUGUUUAAUACCAUUAGAAAAGGAGCUAGCAUCAUUAAGAAACAGUAGCAUCAAGAAGAAACAAUAGCAUUUAUAAUGGACAUAAAAUUUUACAAUAUUUCGGGAGAAAACAUCACGAAAAUUAUUGUCAUCCUUCACUUGAUUUUCCUCAUAAUCUCAGAGUGGGAAUACAACGCCCUGAUUCCAAGCAACCGGAUAUGCGAUUAAGGAUGUACUGGCGGUAAUUGCUGCUGUUUAUUUUUCUACACUCUUAUACAUCUACUUGUACAUAUUCACUAAAUACCUACAAAUUUUUGUAUUGUUAAAUUAAGAUUAUUAGUUUUUACAUUUCGUAAACCUGUUUUUUAAAUUAGCUGAUAUUAUUUUUUAGAAACUACUUAAACUAUCUAUUUCAAUUUUCGCAUAUAUAUAUAUAUAUAUAUAUAUAUAUAUAUAUGUAUGUAUGUAUGUAUGUAAAAUACAUAUGUGUUUAUCGCAUAAACUAGGAUUAUUGCAAUAUUAAUAAAUUAACUACUUUUUUUUACGCAUACAAUUGAAUCGAUUUUGUUAAAAUCCUUUAUUUUAAAACAGUGCCUUUUUCAUAAUUUACAAUCUUUUUCAUUUAUCCUAGUUUGUGAUAAGCAGACAUAUUAUGUAUGUUACAUAUAUGUAAAAGUAGAAUGCUUUCUAUGAUCGCAGCUAGAUCUUUGUGCUUAUAUUAUUUGUGUGAUUUUAUACUUUGUUCAAAUUCAAUAAACUGUGUGCGGAAUUGUUUUUUCAGUCAUAAUACAGCCCUACAUUGAACAAGAUUUUACUAAUAUCAUUAAAAUUGAAAUUAAUAUUAACUCUUCCCCCCCCCUAAAAAAAACUGCAAAGAAUUUAUUGCAAAAAAUAUCAUCUCAGCCAGGGUUCAAUGUAAGACUAAACUGUUAUGACUAAAAAACAAUUCUGCGAACAGUUUAUUGAAUUUCAGGAAAGUGUAUAAAAUCACACAAAUAAAACAAGCACAAAGAUCUAGCUGCGAUUAGAAUUCUUGUUCAAGUUGUAUUGUAAAUUGAUUUAUUGCGUAUUGUUUAUUGAUUUAUUGCUAAUUUAUUUCAUUGUUAAUUGAAUUUAUUGCUUUAUUUAUAUUUCGAUAUGUUUAAUCUAUAAUGUAUGAUUAAGUAAAUAUACAUAACACAUGUUGUAUUUACAUUUAUGCAAAAUAAAAUAUGACAAUUUUAUUUUUACCAGUA